GAUGAACGCUAGCUACAGGCUUAACACAUGCAAGUCGAGGGGAAACGAUAUUGGAAGCUUGCUUCCGAUAGGCGUCGACCGGCGCACGGGUGAGUAACGCGUAUCCAACCUGCCCAUCACUUGGGAAUAACCUUGCGAAAGUAAGACUAAUACCCAAUGAUAUCUCUAGAAGACAUCUGAAGGAGAUUAAAGAUUUAUCGGUGAUGGAUGGGGAUGCGUCUGAUUAGCUUGUUGGCGGGGUAACGGCCCACCAAGGCGACGAUCAGUAGGGGUUCUGAGAGGAAGGUCCCCCACAUUGGAACUGAGACACGGUCCAAACUCCUACGGGAGGCAGCAGUGAGGAAUAUUGGUCAAUGGGCGAGAGCCUGAACCAGCCAAGUAGCGUGCAGGAUGACGGCCCUAUGGGUUGUAAACUGCUUUUAUAAGGGAAUAAAGUGAGCCUCGUGAGGCUUUUUGCAUGUACCUUAUGAAUAAGGACCGGCUAAUUCCGUGCCAGCCGCCGCAGUAA
rnacentral:rRNA from 1 species